UGCAGAUCAACUGUGUCUAUCCACCCUUUCUUGGUAGAUGCUUUUGGUAGUUAUCUUCCAACUGAUGAGAAUGAUCAUUCAUCAAAUGAACACAUGACAUGGAUGAAAGA